AUUUUUUAAAAUUGUAAUUGUUCAGCUUCAUUGUCAAUACUUUUUGUUACAUAUUGGUGGUACUGAACAUAUAAGCCAAAUAUUUUACUGGCAAUUAACUAUAUUUUACAACUAGGAAUGCUUCUGAACUAACCUGAUUCAGACUUCU